AUCAAGCGAGAAGUCGACGCGCCGAAAGGCGUCCGGCCCUCCGCGAGCGCCCGCGGGUGUUCGGGUUACGGACCCGGUCCGAUCCCGUUCCCACCGAGGGGCUGUCCGCGAUUCAAAUGGAGGUGUUCUCGGACGGCGUCGAAUUUUCUCCGGUCCGCGACGCUACGGCUUGGAUGGUCCACCCGACCCGUCUUGAAACACGGACCAAGGAGUCUAACAUGCGCGCGAGUCGUUGGGUCGGAUGCGCUCCGCUAAACCCAUAGGCGCAAUGAAAGUGAAGGCUGCCUUUCCGGUGGCCGAGGGAGGACGGGGCGGGCGGAUUCUUCUCCCGCCCCCGCACCCCCGGGGCGUCUGAUCCCUCAUCGCGAGGGGAGGCGCACCCAGAGCGCACACGUUGGGACCCGAAAGAUGGUGAACUAUGCCUGGCCAGGACGAAGUCAGGGGAAACCCUGAUGGAGGUCCGUAGCGAUUCUGACGUGCAAAUCGAUCGUCGGAGCUGGGUAUAGGGGCGAAAGACUAAUCGAACCAUCUAGUAGCUGGUUCCCUCCGAAGUUUCCCUCAGGAUAGCUUGCGCUCGGAGGAGAGUCUCAUCCGGUAAAGCGAAUGAUUAGAGGCCUUGGGGCCGAAACGGCUUCAACCUAUUCUCAAACUUUAAAUGGGUGAGAGCUCCGGCUUGCUCGAUACGUCGAAGCCGGAGACUGGAUCGGAGUGCCUAGUGGGCCACUUUUGGUAAGCAGAACUGGCGCUGUGGGAUGAACCAAACGACGGGUUAAGGCGCCCGAAUCGACGCUCAUGGGAAACCAUGAAAGGUGUUGGUUGCUUAAGACAGCAGGACGGUGGCCAUGGAAGUCGGAAUCCGCUAAGGAGUGUGUAAUAACUCACCUGCCGAAGCAACUAGCCCUGAAAAUGGAUGGCGCUGAAGCGUCGUGCCUAUACCCGGCCGUCGCGGCGGGGCGGACCCGGUCUCGAAUCGGGUGCCGUUCGAUGCGGCGACGAGUAGGAGGGUCGCGGCGGCGUGCGCAGAAGGGUCUGGGCUCGAGCCUGCCUGGAGCCGCCGCCGGUGCAGAUCUUGGUGGUAGUAGCAAAUACUCCAGCGAGGCCCUGGAGGACUGAUGUGGAGAAGGGUUUCGUGUGAACAGCCGUUGCACACGAGUCAGUCGAUCCUAAGCCCUAGGAGAAAUCCGACGCCUACGGCGACGGGAAAAAUGAACGAACGAAUGAAACCCGUUGAUCGGGCGAAAGGGAAUCCGGUUCCUAUUCCGGAACCCGGCAGCGGAACCGCUGUUUGUCGGGCCCUCACAAGGGGUUCGUCAGGGUAACCUAAAAGGGCCCGGAGACGCCGUCGGGAGCCCCGGAAAGAGUUUUCUUUUCUGCAUGAGCGUUCGAGUUCCCUG
rnacentral:rRNA from 1 species